UACGUAGGGAGCAAGCGUUGUCCGGAAUCAUUGGGCGUAAAGAGCGCGUAGGUGGCUGCAUAAGUCCGUUGUGAAAGUCAAAGGCUCAACCUUUGAACGCCGAUGGAUACUGUGGAGCUAGAGUACGGAAGAGGCGAGUGGAAUUCCUGGUGUAGCGGUGGAAUGCGCAGAUAUCAGGAGGAACACCAAUAGCGAAGGCAGCUCGCUGGGACGUUACUGACACUGAGGCGCGAAAGCGUGGGGAGCGAACAGG
rnacentral:rRNA from 1 species